rnacentral:misc_RNA from 1 species
CCUGCAAUUGAAACAGACCAAAUCAAUUAUCUUUUGGGCAGUUUUUCUUAGAUGACACAAACAUUGGCAUUGCAGAUUAACACUUUCAUGAAUUAGAUCCCAAAAGCACAAAGAACAAGAGAUAAUGAUCAUCUCCAGUUGUCCACACUAUAAAGUGAAAAGCAAUAUAAAACCGUGAACCUAGUCAUGAGGUCAUUUGACAUGAACAUAAUUAAUUGGAUUGUCUUCUCAAAGAAAAAAAAAAUAAUUAAUUGAAUUCACCUAAGAAUAUUACAUCUUUCUCUGCUAUAAGUCUAUUUACACAUUGAACUUGAGUUAUGGUGAUUAAUUUUUAGGUAAUUUAUCAACAAUAUUCAUUCAAACAUUCACGAACAAAAGAGUGCUGCUGCAAUUAUAAUAGCUUAGCUCAUGUAUGUUGUUCUACUUCUUUCUUAUCAUCAAAGUUAGCGCAAAAAGAAACAAUUUAUCAUAUGUUUGAAUGGCUCCCUGAUUAGCUCCAGUCUUGAAAGUGUCAAAAAGAUGCAUUCAGUUUCCAUUAACAUCAAGUCUGUCUUUCCUCAUUGCUUAAUCCAACUACCAGAUUCCCUCAAUUCCAACAUGUAAUAUCCAUCAAGUUAUUAGUUACAGCAUUCAUUAAAGAACUAAAUAGUACAAGAGGAUUUUUUUUUCCAGGAACAAUUUUCCAAAUAAUUUUUAGUUUUCCAGGAAAAAUUUUGGUGUCGAUUUCCGAUAAACAGGCAGGGGAGAAGUGCAUCUCAUUAUCUGAAAAUACUUCCCAAUAAAUAAUCAUCAAAUAGUCACCCAAAAAUAACAAAAAAGAGAUCUUUAAUUCAAUCAAUUGAAAAGCGACAAGAGACGAAAACCCUAGAAAUCAGAGACAAAUCUUUUCCAGAACGAAACAGAAGAAAACAAAACAACAACAGGAACAGGCAUCUAACAUUCCAAAUUUGCUUUCUUCUCCAAGAAUUCUUAGAAAACAAGCUCAAUUGAUUAAAAAAAAUGAAGUUAAGGCCAUAAGCGUACCUGUAUUAUCUCUAGAAAAAAUUGCUGC